UACGAAGGGGGCUAGCGUUGUUCGGAAUUACUGGGCGUAAAGCGCGCGCAGGCGGUUUCUCAAGUCAGUGGUGAAAGCCCGGAGCUCAACUCCGGAACUGCCAUUGAAACUGUGAAACUUGAGGACGAGAGAGGUGAGUGGAAUUCCCAGUGUAGAGGUGAAAUUCGUAGAUAUUGGGAGGAACACCAGUGGCGAAGGCGGCUCACUGGACCGGUACUGACGCUGAUGCGCGAAAGCGUGGGGAGCAAACGGG
rnacentral:rRNA from 1 species